rnacentral:rRNA from 1 species
UACGUAGGGGGCAAGCGUUGUCCGGAUUUAUUGGGCGUAAAGGGCGCGUAGGCGGCCAGUGCAAGUCAGUUGUGAAAUCUCCGAGCUUAACUCGGAAAGGUCAACUGAUACUGCUCGGCUAGAGUGCGGAAGGGGCAACUGGAAUUCUUGGUGUAGCGGUGGAAUGCGCAGAUAUCAGGAAGAACACCCGUGGCGAAGGCGGCUCUCUGGGACGGUACUGACGCUGAGACGCGAAAGCGUGGGGAGCGAACAGG